UUUCUGGGUUUUGUAGGACAUAGAGAGGAGUAGAAAUUGAUUGUUGUUAUGGGGGAACUCCUUUUACCCCUCUUUGUAUGAAUUUGUACCUCCCUGUUCUGGGAACUGAUGGAGCAGUAGUAUCUUGACAUCGUAAAGUGAAGAAAUGACUUCUUAGGUCCUUUGGAAGAAACAGGUUUGAUGUUCACCAACCCUCUUUUCUUUGUUUUAGCACACCAGUCAUUUAUAUACCCCAGAAUUCUUUGCAAUCAGGUUGACACAUUGGCCAUGGAAAUAUGUACUAAAAUAAUGCCCAUUGCUCCCAGGCAUGGCUGUAAAACCCUUGUGAGAGCCAUGGGCUGCCUUUAUCAAUCAGCUGGAUACAGAGAAUCCAGAAGAAGGCCCUGAUAUUUGAAGUCCUGCCUUUCAUCUCAGGCUUUUAUUUAAGAAAAAAAAAAAUGUGAGGGCCUUGCAACAAAAUGGAAAAAGUCUGGGUCCUAAACCAUUACUUUGAGAGGGGCCACAUGUCCUGCCUUGGACUGAUAGGCAAGAAAAACAAACUUUUAUUGUGUGAAGCCCUUGAGAUUUGGGGGUUGUAUGCUGUAGCAGCUCAUGUUAAUCCCCCAACUAAUACAGGUUCUUCUUAUAUUGUGCGUUCAGCGAUCUCCUUCCUUUGGCUCCUUCUCUUCCCCACGAGAUUUGGGCGAGAAAGACAAGAUAGGAGCCCAGAGGAUUUAUGACUUAAUCAAAUGUUUAAAUGCUAAGAUUUUGGUGUCUUUGAAAUAGAUCUGGCAUUUAGAUUUAAGUUGACCAAAGCCCUCAUAGUGAGAAUACACGUAGUAAGAGCAGAAGAGAAGAGAACCCAGAGAGUGAUGAAAGCUAGAAGUGUUUCCAAUUGUCUAUAGGUCCAGAAGGUGUUAGAAGAUUCUCCAACACAGGGUAGAGCAAAUUAUUAAAAAUAUCUACUGAAGGCCAGAGUCUGAACUAGGCCUUCAAUAGGGAGUCCAAGAGUCCUUCAACUGGGGAAGAAGAGGGGCUAUACCAUAUACAAAGGUGAGUAAGACACCUCUGCUUUUCACAUAAUUGUGCCGAUCCGGACACAUAAAGAGAAUUACUACAUUCAGUUAAGCCAGAAAGCACCAGUACAACAACACCACAAUGAAAAAUAGAAGAGCAAGAAAAAUUCCAAAUGGCAUCAAAAGUUGGCAGGGUGUGAGAUCUAGAGGGAAAAAAAAGGAGAUCUGAGCAGAUCUUUGAAAGACUUGUAGGACUUUGGAGGGAGGACAGAGGUGGGAGAAUAUAACACAGAUUCCUGAAAGAGAGUCGGUUAAUAGGCCAUGUGUAUAAGGGUUAGCGUAUGUAUGUGUAUGGAGAGGGCGAAGAUAAGAUUGGAAAGAUGGAAGGAAAAGCUGGGCUAUAAUCUGCUCCCCCCCCUUUUUUGCACAAGCACAGGAAAUAAGAAACUUAAGAGCCCCUAGCAGAAAUAUAAUUUCAAUUCCUGUGGUGUGGUAUGGGCCUUCCAGAAAUCCUUAGCAGCAGUAGAUCUCCUUGGCAAGCUGUGAAUUCAGAAAGGAGAAGGACAUUUUUUUUUUUUUUUCCCUUAAAUCAAAGCCUGAGAUGAAAGGCAGGGCUUCAGGUAUCACAAGGCUUUCCCAAAUUUGGCUGUACCUGCAAAGCAAUGGGAAGUCUUCUCAAUCAGGGAAGGUAAAAAAAGAUCACUAGUUAAGUCAGGGGUGGUUUAGUCACAUUUUCUUCCAGAGAGCAUUGUCUCUUAAUAUAAAGGAGCUUAGCUGGUAAUGUGUUCUCUUAGGGUUGAGGAUGCUUAACAUAAAACCUCUUGAGGCGGUUAGUAGUGCAGUUCAUCAAAUAUUUCUGGCUCUCCACGUUCUAGGUACAUGGUAGGAUUGUACUUCUGUGCUCCCUUUGAGGUUUGGUGUGGCUGCGAGACUUCCUUUGACCAAAGAAAUGUGAGAAGUUGAUUUGCAUAAUUUUUGGUGAGAAACUUAGAAGCCAGUGUAUGAUUGCUAUGCUGUGUUCUCUUGCUGAGGCAGUCAGGAUGAAAACACAGGUCAAGACAGAAUGUCUAUCAGCUUGGGUGAGCACAGUUCCCCUGCUAAUCCAGGCUGAAGUGAAAAUGAACUUUUAUUGUGGUAAGCCUCUGAGAUGAAGGGUUUUUAUGUUGUUUCAGCUCGCUUUUGCUCAUACUGACUGCUAAAUCUAUAUUGCCAGUUAAGAAGGGAUGUAACUGACAUUAUAAUGGUCUCCUACUGAAACUGAUACAAUAGUAUCAAAAGACAAUUACAGCUUGUUGGAAGAUUAAAGAAUGUCUCACUCAGUUCCAGCUGCUAUAACAAAAAUACCAUACACUGGGUAGCUUAUAAAUAACAGAAAUUUACCUCUCACAGAUUGGGAGGGUGGGAAGUCCAAGAUCAAGGUGCCAGCAGAUUCUGGUGAGGGUCUACUUCCUGGCUCACAUAGAGCCAUCUAUCUCCUGGCAGUGUCCUCAUAAGGCAGAAGGGGCAAGGGAACUCUCUGGAAUCUCUGGGCACUAAUCCCAUUCAAGAGGGCUCCACCCUCAUAACCUGAUCACUUCCCAUUGAGCAUUAGGAUUUAACCUGUGAAUUUGGGAGGGACACAAACUAGUAUCCAUGAGGAUGUGGGUUUGAUCCCUGGCCUUGUUCAGUGGGUUAAGGAUCCGGCAUUGCUAUGAGCUGUGCUGUAGGUCACAGCUGCACCUCAGAUCUGGCGUUGCUGUGGCUGUGGUAUAGGCCAGCAGCUGCACCUCUGAUUGACCCCCAGCCUGGGAACUUCCACAUGCCACAGGUGU
rnacentral:lncRNA from 1 species